UGUGGAGCUUAACCUUCCUUUAGAAAGAUAAUUUAAAUUUAAAUAAAAUCUCCUCUAAUAAGAAGGAUUGGUUGGGGUAACCAUGGAGAAAAACUAGUCUCCUGUAACAUAAAAAGAAAAUUAUUCAAUUAUAAAAUCAAAGAACCAGUUAAUUCUGGUAAACAGAAAAAGUUACCGCAGGGAUAACAGCGUAAUCUCCUUUAAGAGUCCAAAUUGACAAGGAGGAUCACGACCUCGAUGUUGGAUUGGGAUCACCAAAAGGUGCAGAAGCUUUUUAGGUUGGACUGUUCGUCCAUUAAUAUCCCACAUGAUCUGAGUUCAGACCGACGAGAGUCAGGUCAGUUUCUAUCUUCUUACAUAAAAGUUUUUCCAGUACGAAAGGACCAAAAAAUAUCUUCAAAUAAUUUUUAUUAAGAAGAACAUUAAUCAUAUAUCACAAUUUAUUUCACCAAAUCAUACACACAAACUUUUAAACAUAAUUUUAUAAAAAUGAAA
rnacentral:rRNA from 1 species